rnacentral:misc_RNA from 1 species
GUGAAUAUCUAAAGAAAGCAAAGGUUGCUUCAUCUGAUCUUUUAUUAUUUUAACAUUUAUUAGAGUAGUUCCUUGAGCACUUGAUGGUGUUCAACUGUUUUAUCUCACCAUUGACAUCAUCUCAUAGUUUGCAAUUUUUUGCUGGCUUUUUAUUUAUUUAUUUUAUCUACAUGAAGAAUCAUGUACAUAAUACAUAUCUCUGUUCCCUUUGCAGGAGAUGGUCAUUGCUAGCACU